CCAUUGUAAAGCAAUUAUACUCCAAUAAAGAUGUAAAAAAGAAAAAAAAAGAAUCACUCUGGCUACUAUGUUGGGAAUGGGUUAUGCAUAGAAGCAAAUGGCUACUGAAGUAAUGCGAGUGAGAGGCAGAGUGGUUUGGAGCAAAGUGGUAGUAGUGGGAAUGGUGAGAAGUGAUUACAUUCUAAACAUAUUUUGAAACUACAGCUAAUAGGAUUUCUUCAUAGAUUGGAUUUGGGGUGACAGAAAAAGAUAGGCAUCUGGAAAACCAGCUUGACAUAAAUUUUUAAACAUAGGUGACCACAUUUAAUACCAUAUGCUCCCCUCUUACCCCUACAACUCUGCCCAGCUUGUUGGACAAUGGCAGGCACUUACCUGGGAGCAGCUGAUCAAUAGGCUGGACAUUAGCCUUUAGAGUAUCCUGGCAUGAAAGUUUCGCCCGAAUAAAUGGCAAUUAACUCUUCCAAUGAUUUUUUUUCUUUCAGGAAUCAGAAUUGGAGAGAAAAAACCAUCAUCAUCAUCAUCAGUGAGAGCAGAAGCUGAAAGACAUGGAGAGUAGGCAGUAUCCCGACUUCAUGGGGAUAAGGAUGGCACAUUCGACAGGAAAUCUCUUGGUAUCUACUUAUCUCUGUGGAUUGAGCAUGGCCAACAAGGUACAGAAGGUGAAAAAUGCAAAUAUUUUGAAUAAAGAAGAACUAACUGGAAUCAUGUGAAGCAUUUUACACACCUUCUCUCAUUUAAUCUGUAGUGUGAGGGAGGUACCAUCACUGAGGUUCACAGAGGUGUUUACAGAGAUUUAUAGAACAUAACUACCAAGAAAAACAAGAAUCAACUGUGCCAGGUGCAGGAUCAGACAACUCGUGGAGGAGUGGAAUGCCUGGCUCCGAAGCCUUGUCUCUCUGAUUCUGGACACCUCAUUCCAUCCCAUCAGCUACCUUUCAGAAGAGAAAGAAAAGCUCUUCUGCUCAGCUUCCAGUGCUCCUUCCACGGUAUGAUGCUGCCUUCCCUAGAGCUUGUUGCCUAGCUGGGAAAUGAACAGCUCUGAGGAUGAAAGCAAAAUACACUGAGUUUCCAAGAAUCUGUAAGAGGAAGACAGGUGCUCACAGGGACAUGUGAGUCUGUGCCUGAGAAGCAAUCCUGAUGGUGGGACGUGGGUUCGAGCCCUGGUCCAGGAAGAUCCCACAUGCCGCAG